rnacentral:rRNA from 1 species
AGAGUUUGAUCCUGGCUCAGAACGAACGCUGGCGGCGUGCCUAACACAUGCAAGUCCAACGUGAAAGGGGAGCAAUCCCCCGGUAGGGUGGCAAACGGGUAGAGUAAUACAUGGGUGAUCUACCUUAGGGAUGGGAGUAUCCUUCCGAAAGGAGGGGCGAAUACCGAUAUUGUCCGGAGCCGUGAAGGGUUCCGGGGAAGGGAGGCCUCUGACACAAGCUUUCGCCUUAAGAUGAGCCCAUGGCCCACUCAGCUAGUUGGGUAGGGUAAAGGCCUACCAAGGCUACGACGGGUCGCUGGUCUGAGAGGACGACCAGCCACACUGGCACUGAGAUACGGGCCAGAC